rnacentral:rRNA from 1 species
GUGAGGAAUAUUGGACAAUGGGCGCAAGCCUGAUCCAGCCAUGCCGCGUGCAGGAAGACGCAUCUAUGGUGUGUAAACUGCUUUUGUACGGGAAGAAACACUCCCUCGUGAGGGAGCUUGACGGUACCGUAAGAAUAAGGAUCGGCUAACUCCGUGCCAGCAGCCGCGGUAAUACGGAGGAUCCAAGCGUUAUCCGGAAUCAUUGGGUUUAAAGGGUCCGUAGGCGGUGUAAUAAGUCAGUGGUGAAAGCCCAUCGCUCAACGAUGGAACGGCCAUUGAUACUGUUAGACUUGAAUUACAAGGAAGUAACUAGAAUAUGUAGUGUAGCGGUGAAAUGCUUAGAUAUUACAUGGAAUACCAAUUGCGAAGGCAGGUUACUACUUGUGGAUUGACGCUGAUGGACGAAAGCGUGGGGAGCGAACAGGAUUAGAUACCCUGGUAGUCC